CGAGAUCACACCACUGCAGUCCAGCCUAAGCGACAGAGUGAGACUGUGUCUAAAAAAAAAAAAAAAAAAAAGUAGUGAUGAACACCAAAUGCUGGCAAUGCUGCGGAGAAACUGAGUCAUUCGUAUAGUGCUGGGGAACAUAAAAUGAUAGAGCCACUCUGGAAAACAAUUUGUCAGUUUCUGGAAAAAACAUAUAUACCAUACGACCCAGCAGUCACAUUCCUGGGCAUCUCUCCAAGAGAAAUGAAGGCUUAUUUUCACGCAGGAACUUGUACACAAAUGGUCGUGGCAGUUUUAUUUGUAAUAGCUCAAAACUGGAAACCAACCAAAUGUCCUUUAAUGGGUGAGUGGUUAAACAAACUGUAGUUUAUCCAUACCAUGGAAUAAUACUCAGAAAUAGAAAAGAACAAACUAUUGAUACACGCAACAACUCGGAUGGCGCUCAAAGAAAUUAUGCUGAGUGAAAAAAGCCAGUCUCAAAAGGAUAACUACUGCAUGAUUCCAUUUCUGUAACAUUCAUGAAAUAACAUAAUUAUAGGGGUGGAGAACAGAUUGGUGGUUGCCGGAGGUUAGUGACGGUGGGGAGGAAUGGGUGUGGCUAUGAAGGGGUAACACCAAUGUGUCUUGUGAUGAUGGCACAGUUGAGCAUUUUUUUGUAGCAGUUUCAUGGAGAUGUAAUUCACAUAUACUCCAGUUGAGUAUACCUUGAUUGUAGUGGUGAUUACACAAAACUACAUGUGAUAAAAUUACAUAGAGCCAUGCACACAUAUGCAAAUAAGUGCAUGUAUGAUUACUGAAAUCCAAAUAAGUUCUAUACAUUGUAGCAGUGUCAAUUCCUUGGUUCUGAUAAUGUAUCAUACUGUAAUUGUAGAAGAUGUUAACACUGGGUGAGGUUGGGAAAAAGAGCAUGGGACUUCCCUUGCAUUUCUUUGCAACCUUCUGUGAGUCUGUAAUUAUUUAACAACAAAAAAAAAAUUAAACUUUUUUAAAAAAGUGCCUUGUAGUCCCAGCACCUCAUGAAGCUGAGGCAGGAGGAGUGCUUGAGCCCAGGAGUUUGAAGUCAGCCUAAGAAACACAGCAAGACCAAGACCAUGUCUCUAAAAAAAACAAAAAACAAAAAAUGUCUCAUAAAAAAUUGCACUCCCUCCAUCACUCUCUAUCCUCUCAACUUGCUUUAUUUUUCUUCAUUGUCUAUAUCUUCAUAGCCUGUAUCUGACUUUAUAGUAUAUGUAAUGGAUAAGCUAUAACAUAUAUUUGCAUACAUCUGUCUCCUCCAGUAGAAUGUAAACUUAGGAGGGGCAAGCAUUUGUUAUGUUCUCUCCCUGGUGCUAGAAUGGCACCUGGCACACUGCAUUUGUUGAGUGAAUGUGUGGGUGUACCUGGCUUCCUACAGGUGUCUAUUUCAUUUAUUGUAUCUAUACAAAAAUUAACCUUAUAGCCCCCUGCCAGAAACAUUACUUUUAUUAAGGUAUUCACCCCAGACUCUCAGUUCAGAGGAGAUUUCACAUUUCUUUCUCUUUCUUUCUUUCUCUUUCUUUCCUUCCUUCUUUCCCUUUUCCCUCCCCUCCCCUCCCCUCCCCUCCUCUCCGCUCCCCUUCCCUCCCCUCCUCUCCUCUCACCUUCCCUUCCCUCUUUCCUUCCUUUUUUUUUUUUUUUUUUUUUUUGAUAGGGUCUUCCUCUGCCACCCAGACUGGAGUGCAGUGGUGCAACCAUGGGUCACUGCAGCCUCAACCUCCUGGGCUCAAGGAAUUCUUUUGCCUCAGCCUCUUCAGUAGCUGGGACUACAGGUGCUUGCCACUAGGCUCACCUAAUUUUUAAAACUUUUUUGCAGAAAGGGGGUCUUCCUAUAUUACCCAGGCUAGUCUCAAACUCCUGGGCUCAAGUCAUCCUCCCGUCUUUGCUCCCUAAAGUGCUGGGAUUAUAGGUGUGAGCCACUGUGUCUGGCCACCACAUUUUUUCAAAUAGCCUUUUUCUGGUAAUUACAUUUUCAUAAAGGCAUUUUUUUUUUCUUUUUUUUGGAGACAGACUGUCUCUGACGCCCAGGCUGGAGUGCAGUAGCACACAAACAUGGCUCACUACAGCCUCCUUGACCUCCUGGGCUCAAGUGGUCCUUCCACCUCAGCCUCCCAUCUAGCUGGGACCACAGGUAUGACCCACCAUGCCCAGCUGUAAAUGAAAUUCUUUAGUGGGAAAUACAUAUUUCACCCAAUUCUGUUUAUUCUUCCCUGGCUCCAAUGAGGCCUUUGGGAGUAUGUACUCAUUUGAAGUCUUUCUGGGAGAGUUAAAACGUCUGCUAUGAGAAGGCAGCUAAAUAAAGGUCCUUGAAUGUCACUGAAUUGACCCUAUGUUCCUCAAAAAGAGCUUCAGCCUGAAUUGUUGAAAUUAAGCAAUUUUGUAAGAAAAAGAAACAGUACCAGUGGCUCACACCUG
rnacentral:lncRNA from 10 species